AGGGGUUUAAAGGUCCCGGCAAAACGAAGGGGGCCAAACCCCUGGCCCAUAAGUUGCCCAUUCAUUAAAGUUUGGGGCCAAUUCUAAGUGGGGAACUGCCGGGUGAUAAAGCCGGGAAGGAAAGGUGGGGGAUGACGUCCAAGUCAUCAUGGCCCUUACGGGCUGGGCUACACACGUGCUACAAUGGCGGUUGACAAUGGGCAGCCACUCCGCGAGGAGGAGCUAAUCCCAAAAAGCCGUCUCAGUUCGGAUUGUUCUCUGCAACUCGAGAGCAUGAAGUCGGAAUCGCUAGUAAUCGUGGAUCAGCAUGCCACGGUGAAUACGUUCCCGGGCCUUGUACACACCCCCCGGAAUCACUAGUGAAUUCGCG
rnacentral:rRNA from 1 species